rnacentral:lncRNA from 1 species
GGUAUGUAUUUGGCGCCACAAGUGUGCCUUCAUCAGAGUUGCUGCUGUGAUGAAACACCACAGUUCAUCACUAAAGGAAAGAAGAACAGGAGCUCAAUCCCAGCAGGAACAUGGAGGCAGGAGCCGAUGCAGAGGCCACAGAGGGGGGCUGCUUACUGGCUUAUUCCUCAUGGCUUGCUCAGCCUGCUUUCUUGUAGAACCCAGGACCACCGACUGGCCCAGGGGUGGCCCUGCCCCACUAAUUUUAAAAAAUGCCCCACAGGCUUGCCUACAUUCGGAUCUUAUGGAGGCAUUUUCUCAUUUGAGGCACUCUCCUCUCUGAUAACUAUAGUUUAUAUGUCACUGACAUAAAACUAGCAAAAUCAGUAUCUAAUGCCCGUUUUCUUAUAAAACCUCAGGAUAGAGUAUGUAACAGUGACUCCUGAAGGAUUCCGGUACCGGGGCCAGAUUUUCCCAACUGUGAAUGGACUCUUCCGGUGGUUUAAGGAUCAUUAUCAGGAUCCUGUACCAGGCAUUACUCCCAGUAGCAGCAGCAGAACACGGACCCCCGCUUCUAUCAAUGCUACCCCAGCCAACAUCAAUCUUGCAGAUCUGACACGGGCUGUGAAUGCCUUGCCUCAGAACAUGACUUCACAGAUGUUCAGUGCCAUUGCUGCUGUGACAGGCCAAGGACAGAACCCCAAUGCUACCCCAGCCCAGUGGGCAUCCAGCCAGUAUGGCUACGGUGGCAGUGGAGGAGGCAGUAGCGCCUAC